rnacentral:rRNA from 1 species
AGUGAACGCUGGCGGUAGGCCUAACACAUGCAAGUCGAACGGCAGCACAGUAAGAGCUUGCUCUUACGGGUGGCGAGUGGCGGACGGGUGAGGAAUACAUCGGAAUCUACUUUUUCGUGGGGGAUAACGUAGGGAAACUUACGCUAAUACCGCAUACGACCUACGGGUGAAAGCAGGGGAUCUUCGGACCUUGCGCGAUUGAAUGAGCCGAUGUCGGAUUAGCUAGUUGGCGGGGUAAAGGCCCACCAAGGCGACGAUCCGUAGCUGGUCUGAGAGGAUGAUCAGCCACACUGGAACUGAGACACGGUCCAGACUCCUACGGGAGGCAGCAGUGGGGACUCUUGGGCCCUGGGCGCCCGCCUGCUCCCGCCCUCCCGCGUGGGUGAAGAAGGCCUUCGGGUUGUAAAGCCCUUUUGUUGGGAAAGAACAGCAGCAGGUUAAUACCCCGCUGUUCUGACGGUACCCCACGAAUAAGCACCGGCUCACUUCGUG